GUGAGGAAUAUUGCGCAAUGGAGGCAACUCUGACGCAGCCAUGCCGCGUGCAGGAAGAAGGCGCUACGCGUUGUAAACUGCUUUUAACCGGGAAGAAACCCCAGGACGUGUCCUGGGUUGACGGUACCGGAGGAAUAAGCACCGGCUAACUUCGUGCCAGCAGCCGCGGUAAUACGAAGGGUGCAAGCGUUAUCCGGAUUCAUUGGGUUUAAAGGGUGCGUAGGCGGAGCGUUAAGUCAGUGGUGAAAUCCUGCAGCUUAACUGUAGACUUGCCAUUGAUACUGGCGCUCUUGAGUGCGCUUGAAGUGGGCGGAAUGUGCCGUGUAGCGGUGAAAUGCUUAGAUAUGGCACAGAACACCAAUUGCGAAGGCAGCUCACUAAGGCGAUACUGACGCUGAGACACGAAAGCGUGGGGAUCGAACAGGAUUAGAUACCCGAGUAGUCC
rnacentral:rRNA from 1 species